UGGGGAAUCUUCGGCAAUGGACGCAACCCUGACCGAGCAACGCCGCGUGUGUGAAGAAGGCUUUCGGAUCGUAAAACUCUGUUGUUAGAGAAGAACAAGGACGUUAGUAACUGAAGGUUGCAUGACGGUAUCUAACGAAAAAGCAACGGCUAACUACGUGCCAGCAGCCGCGGUAAUACGUAGGGGGCAAGCGUUGUCCGGAAUUACUGGGCGUAAAGCGAGCGCAGGCGGUUGUGUAAGUCUGAUGUGAAAGCCCCCGGCAAAACCGGGGAGGGUCAUUGGAAACUGCGAGGCUAGAGUGCAGAAGAGGAGAGUAGAAUUCCAUGUGUAGCGGUGAGAUGCGUAGAUAUGUGGAGGAACACCGGUGGCGAAGGCGGCUCUCUGGUCUGUAACUGACGCUGAGGCUCGAAAGCGUGGGGAGCAAACAGG
rnacentral:rRNA from 1 species